AGCGAACGCUGGCGGCAGGCCUAACACAUGCAAGUCGAACGAACCUUUCGGGGUUAGUGGCGGACGGGUGAGUAACACGUGGGAACGUGCCUUUAGGUUCGGAAUAACUCAGGGAAACUUGUGCUAAUACCGAAUGUGCCCUUCGGGGGAAAGAUUAAUCGCCUUUAGAGCGGCCCGCGUCUGAUUAGCUAGUUGGUUGAGGUAAUGGCUCACCAAGGCGACGAUCAGUAGCUGGUCUGUGAGGAUGAUCAGCCACAUUGGGACUGAGACACGGCCCAAACUCCUACGGGAGGCAGCAGUGGGGAAUCUUGCGCAAUGGGCGAAAGCCUGACGCAGCCAUGCCGCGUGAAUGAUGAAGGUCUUAGGAUUGUAAAAUUCUUUCACCGGAGACGAUAAUGACGGUACCCGGAGAAGAAGCCCCGGCUAACUUCGUG
rnacentral:rRNA from 1 species